GAAUGCUGACAUAAGUAACGAUAAAGCGGGUGAAAAGCCCGCUCGCCGGAAGACCAAGGGUUCCUGUCCAACGUUAAUCGGGGCAGGGUGAGUCGACCCCUAAGGCGAGGCCGAAAGGCGUAGUCGAUGGGAAACGGGUUAAUAUUCCCGUACUUGGUGUUACUGCGAAGGGGGGACGGAGAAGGCUAUGUUGGCCGGGCGACGGUUGUCCCGGUUUAAGCGUGUAGGUGUGUGUUCCAGGUAAAUCCGGUUCACUUUAACACUGAGGCGUGAUGACGAGGCACUACGGUGCUGAAGCAACAAAUGCCCUGCUUCCAGGAAAAGCCUCUAAGCAUCAGGUAACAUCAAAUCGUACCCCAAACCGACACAGGUGGUCAGGUAGAGAAUACCAAGGCGCUUGAGAGAACUCGGGUGAAGGAACUAGGCAAAAUGGUGCCGUAACUUCGGGAGAAGGCACGCUGACACGUAGGUGAAGUGAUUUACUCAUGGAGCUGAAGUCAGUCGAAGAUACCAGCUGGCUGCAACUGUUUAUUAAAAACACAGCACUGUGCAAACACGAAAGUGGACGUAUACGGUGUGACGCCUGCCCGGUGCCGGAAGGUUAAUUGAUGGGGUCAGCGCAAGCGAAGCUCCUGAUCGAAGCCCCGGUAAACGGCGGCCGUAACUAUAACGGUCCUAAGGUAGCGAAAUUCCUUGUCGGGUAAGUUCCGACCUGCACGAAUGGCGUAAUGAUGGCCAGGCUGUCUCCACCCGAGACUCAGUGAAAUUGAACUCGCUGUGAAGAUGCAGUGUACCCGCGGCAAGACGGAAAGACCCCGUGAACCUUUACUAUAGCUUGACACUGAACAUUGAGCCUUGAUGUGUAGGAUAGGUGGGAGGCUUUGAAGUGUGGACGCCAGUCUGCAUGGAGCCGACCUUGAAAUACCACCCUUUAAUGUUUGAUGUUCUAACGUGGACCCGUGAUCCGGGUUGCGGACAGUGUCUGGUGGGUAGUUUGACUGGGGCGGUCUCCUCCUAAAGAGUAACGGAGGAGCACGAAGGUUGGCUAAUCCUGGUCGGACAUCAGGAGGUUAGUGCAAUGGCAUAAGCCAGCUUGACUGCGAGCGUGACGGCGCGAGCAGGUGCGAAAGCAGGUCAUAGUGAUCCGGUGGUUCUGAAUGGAAGGGCCAUCGCUCAACGGAUAAAAGGUACUCCGGGGAUAACAGGCUGAUACCGCCCAAGAGUUCAUAUCGACGGCGGUGUUUGGCACCUCGAUGUCGGCUCAUCACAUCCUGGGGCUGAAGUAGGUCCCAAGGGUAUGGCUGUUCGCCAUUUAAAGUGGUACGCGAGCUGGGUUUAGAACGUCGUGAGACAGUUCGGUCCCUAUCUGCCGUGGGCGCUGGAGAACUGAGGGGGGCUGCUCCUAGUACGAGAGGACCGGAGUGGACGCAUCACUGGUGUUCGGGUUGUCAUGCCAAUGGCACUGCCCGGUAGCUAAAUGCGGAAGAGAUAAGUGCUGAAAGCAUCUAAGCACGAAACUUGCCCCGAGAUGAGUUCUCCCUGAGACUUUAAGUCUCCUGAAGGAACGUUGAAGACGACGACGUUGAUAGGCCGGGUGUGUAAGCGCAGCGAUGCGUUGAGCUAACCGGUACUAAUGAACCGUGAGGCUUAACCUUACA
rnacentral:rRNA from 1 species